rnacentral:misc_RNA from 1 species
GGACUGCAAUUUUGUCUAUGGAAGCUUAUUUUCGGUUCCCUUAGAACUUGUUAAUCAAAAACAACGAAUCCAAACACUCCUUAUCGGAUCGUGUGGAAGCAAAUGGUCAGCCAUAUUCGCCAGACAACCAUUGCGUCUAAUUCCAUUACUUUUCCGACAAGGGCUGAGGAGAACGGUGCCCUCGCGGGAACCUGUUAUCGGCAAUGUUGUCCGCUUUUAUGAGACACGAAACUGGAUGAGUGCUUGGGCUUUCAAUAAAGCGACGCUACCGCCGCAAAAAACAACGACUAGUAUAGGGGUCGUCUUGACUUUAUCCUGCCAUUGAAUCUCGCAAGUAGGCACAAUUUGGGGUUCGACAGGCUCCUACCGACGCGUUGCGAGGCAAUUCGUCGACGUAAGAGCGCGCCCUGUUCGUAAACCUACUCCCUCUCUGCCUCGCACACGCUGCAAACGUCAAUCGGAUCUAUAGAAAG